GAAUCCCAUACAUAACAACAUAUACAUGAUCUGUAAAAAAUUUUUCUUUUCUCUUAUCCAAGCAAAACCUGUGCAUGCACAAAAUCAUACAUAAACCCCACACUGGAGUCCUCAUCAAAAUACUCCAAUGGGGUAUCAUCAUCAUACAUAUCAGCUUGGAUAAUCAUGGUCAUUAACAUCAUUACUCAUUAAACACUCUGUACAUAAUGGGGAUUCACACACCUCUAGGUCAAGCACUACUAUAAUCCUCAAUACAUCAUCAAAUCAUUCAUUACAUUACAUGGUCAUAAAUACUCGUUACAUCAUGUUCAUGUCCACUACUAUCUAUUACAACAUACAUGACUUAACUUCACUCUAGCCGACUUCCCGAUCUAUCCUGUACCUGCAACUCUGGGGAUAAAGGGAGUGGGGUGAGCUACUAGAGCCCAGUGAGCAGAAUAAUAAAAUAUCAAUUUAAAUCAUGCUUUCAUGUAUGCGCCAUAACACAAACAUUUCACAACAAGGAUGAACUUGUCACCAUUUAGCCCCUAUCUUUCUUACUUAUACAUGCCGGGGGCGUAGAGCCGUAGCAGGCACACCCGGACUACCAUAAUCAAUCAUAGUGCCAGGGGCGUAGAGCCGUAGCAGGCACACCUGGACUCACAUAGGCUAUCAUGACAUAAAAGGGCUAAUGGAUCAUUCAACAUUCAUCCACAUCAACAACAAGGUAUGCAAUGCAACAUAUUCGUGAAUUCUAAUGCAAUCAACCUGAUAUAUCUCAUGGCAUUCAUGAUGCGUGAAUCAUGCUAAAACAUUUCAUUAAUUUGCUUUAAAACUUAAAGUUUAUUCCACUCACCUCUGGCUAGCUCUGAAGAGACUCUGAAGCAGCUGGCUCACUGCUGGGGGUCUCGGUUCCUCAGGUCCGAACCUACACAGGUGGACUCAAAUGAGGGACCAAACAUACCUGAAUAUGACUCUAAAAUACUCCCCAAAAACCCCCUAAAACAUCCUGAAAACAUCACAUGAAAACAUGCAAGAAAUGGCUGAACAGGGCACUUUCGGCGGCAGGUUCGGCGGCCGAAAGUCCCACUGCAGCCGAAAGUCAUGCAGGUUCGGCGGCACUUUCGGCGGCCGAACCUCCCAGACAGAGACGAAACUUGAGUUUCGGGGGCAGGCUUCGGCAGCCGAAACUGCCUUCACAAGGGGGUUCGGCGGCCGAAAGUCACUUCGGCGGCCGAACCUGAGUUUCUGCCGAAGGGCAGAAACUUGGCUUCCUUGUGUCCACAGCCUCCAAAACACCUCAAAACAUGCAUAAACUUGUUUCUACACAUGCAUACACAUCAUGCAUCACACCUAGGGGUCACAAACUAUACUAUACCCCAACUACAACACUUCAAACAACACAUUUCCAACAUACAUUGUUCAAAUCACAUCAUAAACCCAUAAACCUAACAACAAGCCUAAACAUGCAUUCUACCCCAUCAACUUGCAUAAAACUUUCAUAAAACAUAAAAGAAGCAUAGAUCGAAGCUUACCUCUUGAAGAUCGAGAGGAAGAACGACCCUAGCUCGGAAAAUGGAGGGAUUUAGCUCCAAGACUUCCAAGCUCCAAAACUUGUUUCAAAAGCUUAAAUCUUCAAAACCAAGGGAAAACAAGUGAAAAUCUUGAAAGAUUUAGAGGAAGAACAUCAAAAAUGGGUGAGGGGCGGCGGAAAGCUCACCUUGGCCGAAAAUGGGGAAAAACUCGCCCGUUUUCGGCUAAGGGACCCUUUUAUAGUGGCUGGCCAGACCACGUUCGAGGGCCGAAAGUGCCUCCGCAUGCAUGCAAGGUUCGGCGGUCGAACAUGAGGUUCGGCGGCCGAACUUGGACUUCCCUCACUCAUGCUUUCGGGGGCCUAACGUGCCUCCAAAACACAUGCAUGUUCGGCGGCCGAACUUGAUUUUCGGCGGCCGAACCUGGGUUUUUCCUCCAAAG
rnacentral:lncRNA from 1 species